rnacentral:rRNA from 1 species
CAAGUCGAACGAUGAUGCUGGAGCUUGCUCCAGUUGAUUAGUGGCGAACGGGUGAGUAACACGUGAGCAAUCUGCCCUUGACUCUGGGAUAACUGCGGGAAACUGUAGCUAAUACCGGAUACUUUCACCGGAAGGCAUCUUCUGGUGAUGAAAGAAUUUCGGUCAGGGAUGAGCUCGCGGCCUAUCAGCUUGUUGGUGAGGUAACGGCUCACCAAGGCGACGACGGGUAACCGGCCUGAGAGGGUGACCGGUCACACUGGGACUGAGACACGGCCCAGACUCCUACGGGAGGCAGCAGUGGGGAAUAUUGCACAAUGGGCGCAAGCCUGAUGCAGCAACGCCGCGUGAGGGAUGAAGGCCUUCGGGUUGUAAACCUCUUUUAGCAGGGAAGAAGCGAAAGUGACGGUACCUGCAGAAAAAGCACCGGCUAACUACGUGCCAGCAGCCGCGGUAAUACGUAGGGUGCAAGCGUUGUCCGGAAUUAUUGGGCGUAAAGAGCUCGUAGGCGGUUUGUCACGUCUGCUGUGAAAAUCCAAGGCUCAACCUUGGACUUGCAGUGGGUACGGGCAGGCUAGAGUGCGGUAGGGGAGAUGGGAAUUCCUGGUGUAGCGGUGGAAUGCGCAGAUAUCAGGAGGAACACCAAUGGCGAAGGCACAUCUCUGGGCCGUAACUGACGCUGAGGAGCGAAAGCGUGGGGAGCAAACAGGAUUAGAUACCCUGGUAGUCCACGCCGUAAACGGUGGGUGCUAGCUGUGGGCCACAUUCCACGCGGUCCGUAACGAAGUUAACACAUUAAGCACCCCGCCUGGGGAGUACGGCCGCAAGGCUAAAACUCAAAGGAAUUGACGG